rnacentral:rRNA from 1 species
GAGUAACGCGUAAACAACCUGCCCUUCGGAUGGGGAUACAGCCGGAAACGGCUGCUAAUACCGAAUACGAUCUUUCGUCGCAUGACGGAAAAGAAGAAAAAGGAUGGCCUCUAUACAAAGCUAUCGCCGAAGGAGGGGUUUGCGUCUGAUUAGCUGGUUGGAGGGUAACGGCCCAACAAGGCGAUGAUCAGUAGCCGGUCUGAGAGGAUGAACGGCCACAUUGGGACUGAGACACGGCCCAGACUCCUACGGAGGCAGCAGUGGGGAAUCUUCCGCAAUGGACGAAAGUCUGACGGAGCAACGCCGCGUGAGUGAAGAAGGUCUUCGGAUUGUAAAACUCUGUUACACGGGACGAAAAAGGCGGAUGCCAACAGUAUCCGUCCGUGACGGUACCGUAAGAGAAAGCCACGGCUAACUACGUGCCAGCAGCCGCGGUAAAU